rnacentral:lncRNA from 10 species
CAUGCCCAGCCAGAUUCUCUGUUUUAAAAUCCUGGGAUAUUUGCCUCUGGGCCAUUCCUGAACUAACAACAAAAGCAGUCUGGAAGAAAAAUGUCUUCAUGAUUUGAGAAGCUACCAAGAGCCAAGUUGAAGGUAAUUUUUAACAAACAGGCAUAAUUCAUUUCAUAGAUAUAGCAUUCCUAAAAAGGUGUGUGCAAUAUGGCAUUUUCCUAAAUAGAAUUCCAUUUUCAGCAUCCUGGGGGAGUUCAUUCUUUUAAGAAACUCUGGAAGGAAAUCCUUUUAAAUGUUGCAUCUCGGAUGUUGGGCCACGUGCAAUUUCCCAUGUGGGACAGGAAACCUGUCCUAGAAACAACUGCUCCUCUGCUCACACACAUCCACGUGUUCAGACUCACACGUGUGCAGUUUGCACUCACAGACACCCACAGGCACCUGGAAAUGGUUCCUCUCCUGCUCACAGUGCCCUCACACUCUUGUCAAUGUGAGUGCAUGGACACUUAUGUGUGCACACGCAUGCGCUAACAUGCACAGACACAUGUACACAUGCUCUUGUUGGCAGCCUUGUGUACUUCCAAAGGAGCUGCACACUCAGAGCAGACCGCCAGGAUCUGUUUCUCCAGGGAGCAGCUGUAGCUUAUCCAUUAAAACAUAAAAUCCAAGGCCAGAGUGGGGCCUCUGCUCACUUAGCCUGCAGAGAAAGCCCUGUAUCCAGUAUCUUUAUUUGAAAAUGUUCCCUCCAAUCACUAGUGGAAUAAUGGAUUCUGCCACAGAUAACUUCUCCAAAAGCAAAGCCUGGUGGAAGGGUAGGUUUCCAUUCUUCCUAUCACAGGGUGUUUUUGAGUGCCUAGGGCAGUGUCCUAGGCAAUAUCUAGGCAGGUAGGUACAGAGGGUACAAUAAUGAACAAGUCGAUGUCUCUUCUGCUCCCACAGAGCUCAUAGCUCAUUGGGGAUUGUUGGUCUCCUAAUGCCAUAACAAAAACCCACCAACUUAGAGCCUUAGAACA